AUUGAACGCUGGCGGCAUGCUUUACACAUGCAAGUCGAACGGCAGCGCGGGGCAACCUGGCGGCGAGUGGCGAACGGGUGAGUAAUAUAUCGGAACGUACCCAAGAGUGGGGGAUAACGUAGCGAAAGUUACGCUAAUACCGCAUACGAUCUAAGGAUGAAAGUGGGGGAUCGCAAGACCUCAUGCUCCUGGAGCGGCCGAUAUCUGAUUAGCUAGUUGGUGAGGUAAAGGCUCACCAAGGCGACGAUCAGUAGCUGGUCUGAGAGGACGACCAGCCACACUGGAACUGAGACACGGUCCAGACUCCUACGGGAGGCAGCAGUGGGGAAUUUUGGACAAUGGGCGCAAGCCUGAUCCAGCAAUGCCGCGUGAGUGAAGAAGGCCUUCGGGUUGUAAAGCUCUUUUGUCAGGGAAGAAACGGUAGAGGCUAAUAUCCUUUGCUAAUGACGGUACCUGAAGAAUAAGCACCGGCUAACUACGUGCCAGCAGCCGCGGUAAUACGUAGGGUGCAAGCGUUAAUCGGAAUUACUGGGCGUAAAGCGUGCGCAGGCGGUUUUGUAAGUCUGUCGUGAAAGCCCCGGGCUCAACCUGGGAAUUGCGAUGGAGACUGCAAGGCUUGAAUCUGGCAGAGGGGGGUAGAAUUCCACGUGUAGCAGUGAAAUGCGUAGAGAUGUGGAGGAACACCGAUGGCGAAGGCAGCCCCCUGGGUCAAGAUUGACGCUCAUGCACGAAAGCGUGGGGAGCAAACAGGAUUAGAUACCCUGGUAGUCCACGCCCUAAACGAUGUCUACUAGUUGUCGGGUUUUAAUUAACUUGGUAACGCAGCUAACGCGUGAAGUAGACCGCCUGGGGAGUACGGUCGCAAGAUUAAAACUCAAAGGAAUUGACGGGGACCCGCACAAGCGGUGGAUGAUGUGGAUUAAUUCGAUGCAACGCGAAAAACCUUACCUACCCUUGACAUGUCAGGAAGUCCGGAGAGAUCUGGAUGUGCCCGAAAGGGAACCUGAACACAGGUGCUGCAUGGCUGUCGUCAGCUCGUGUCGUGAGAUGUUGGGUUAAGCCCCGCAACGAGCGCAACCCUUGUCAUUAGUUGCUACGCAAGAGCACUCUAAUGAGACUGCCGGUGACAAACCGGAGGAAGGUGGGGAUGACGUCAAGUCCUCAUGGCCCUUAUGGGUAGGGCUUCACACGUCAUACAAUGGUACAUACAGAGGGCCGCCAACCCGCGAGGGGGAGCUAAUCCCAGAAAGUGUAUCGUAGUCCGGAUCGCAGUCUGCAACUCGACUGCGUGAAGUUGGAAUCGCUAGUAAUCGCGGAUCAGCAUGUCGCGGUGAAUACGUUCCCGGGUCU
rnacentral:rRNA from 1 species